rnacentral:lncRNA from 13 species
CUUUCCUCAGUUUAUGGUUAUUCACAAUAAAUGAUGUAAGGCCCUUUGAAUAAGAACUGGGAAUCGUUACAUCACAAUGCUUGCUAUGGCUUUGCAAAGUCCUUCCUCCUAGGGAACUAGUCUUUUUCAUCCAUGGGUUCUGGAAGUGAAACCUGCCUUAGAUCAUGAAACUGGUGGGGGUUGGGGAGGUAAGACAGUAAUAUUUCAUGGGAGAUAGCAAACUUCGAACUUCUAAUAAUCCCUCCUUGACUUCCUUUAGUUUUUACAAAUGUGCAAUAUUCUUGUCAGCUGUCUAGCUAUGUUUUCCCUAGGCCUGGCAUGUUCUGUUAAAUAUCAACAUAUCUCUGAGAGUCAGCUCCCCCUGGCUGCUCCUGUGACCUUGUUGCACUGCCCUCUAUUUCGGGUUUCUAUAUUUCCCAUUUUACAAGAGAUGCUUCAGGUCCUGGAUGUCGAUGUCUAAUCUGCCCUCUAUUCUGUAUUAUAAAACAACAUCUUCUACCAUCGGUCCUGGUCCUCAGAGUAGAGUCACAACUGACCUUCACAACAAUAUGCAUCCCUCUCACCUUAUUGCUGUGGACAACAAAAUGUUUUCCAUCCAGACCCUUAAAGAAUGUACUCACAGGUGCUGGGUUUGUAAAGGAUGAUAACAGCAUGUAAAAUCUACUCAAAAGAGAUCCAUUUUAAUUUACAAUAUAACCCCUCUAGCUAUAGAAAAAAAGCCUUCUGCCCUACAAUAAUGUUCUUUAAAAUGUCUUUCUGUCUUCUGGGAGCAAAGCAGCAAGAAACAGAGCUCUACUGGAGAAGUCGGACCGUCUAGUUGCAGGAAAAUGACCUCAAGUCUCCCACUGAUUCUACAUUAUGCAUAACAUUCUUCUCAUCAAACACUUUGGAAUAAUGCCUAUUGAGGGAUGUGAUGUAUUCUCACAUCACAAGACAUUUAGUACAUGGAGACAGGUGGGAGCUAAACACUGGAACACAUGGACACAAAGAUGGCAGCAAGAGACACUGGAAACUACUAGAGAGAGAAGGAAAGGAGCAGGGCAAACAUACUACGCCCAGGACCCGGAAGACGGGAUUAAUGAAACCCCAAACCUCAGCGUCCCAGGUAACCCAGCCUUCCCUUUGCCUUCUUCGUGGGACUGUAAAAAGUUAUUGAUACAAUGGUCCAAAAUGGACGGCCAGAGAUCUAUUACAGCAAAGAGAGUGUUUGGCUGGGAAAGCCUGAAUUUGAGCUUCACAGCUCAUAAAGGUGAGCACAGCCCUUUACUAAAAGUUAGAACACUGCGGGGUGUUUAAACCCAUGUGGAGGUGAAGAUGUCUAUGUAACAUGACAGCCAGGUGUAGGUUAUCACAAUUCAAGAGGGGUAAUGAUGGCAUCCAUGUGGGAGGAAUCAGGAUGCUGACUUUUGAAAUCUUUCUACAGUCCUCUUCCACAAUUAAUAGGGACAAUAUGUUACCCAGAGGAUAUUGUUGUAGAAAUGACAGAAUGUAAUAUCUGAAGCUAGGUUAUAAAAGAUAUUGGGGCUUCUCUGUCUUAUUAGCUUGAAUUACUUGCUUUGGAGCAAGCCAACAUUGUAACAGCACAAACAGGCCUAUGGAGAAGUCCUCAUUGAAGGAAAUUAAUGCUUCCUACCAAUAGCUACUAAGGAUACUGGCCAACAGUCAUGUGAGUGAGCCAUCUUGGAAGUGCAUCUAACAGUCCAAGUCAAGCCUUCAGAACACUACCUCCAAGCAACAUAUUUAUGACACCUCUAGAGAACACCUGAUCGAGAACACUCAAAUAAACUACCCUAUGUACAGGUAGUAACUCUCUGA